GUGAGGUGCAGGACAAAAUGUCGAAAACCUGCCCGGAGCUGCUGAGAGAAGCAGCGAAUUUGAUUGAGGAAGUUCUCAGCAGAACUCCGACGGCUCAGUCACAGCAGAUACCUACCUACCUCCAUCACGUACACCUGUCCAAGCCGAGGUAGCAAGGCUCUUCGUGCCGUAUAACGUUAAUGGUGGAGCCAGAAGGAAUAUGACGAGACGACCAGCACAAGUCCAAGUUAGCCGAAGAAACUACACACGCACUGUCUGUUGUUUGGCUGACCACAAGGCGGAUAAAGUUCCAAGCGUACUGCUUAAAGCGGACCUUCUUACUUGAGGACUUGGAGAGCAAAAAGUAACAUUUUCAGGGAAUGACAACAAUCCCAUGGUUAUAACAAAUAAACUGAUGGAAGUGUUUCCGAAGCUCCAAGAAGGGGGAGGCUUUGAAUUUCUAAAAAUUGUAGGAUCUACCCGCAGUCGAAAUCUUGCAUUGCUUCAGUGUCCCAGCACUGGAUACGCCCUUGCCUAUCUGAAAGAUCCAUCAACGAUGAUUGGAUAGGCUACAAUCUACAUACGUCCACUUCAACAGGAUCUACCCUUAGAUUGUGAGAGCUCAUGUCAUGCCUCUGGUCCAGUCAUCCCCUGCAUUACUUGUCAGAAGGAAGUUCCCUUUUCAGAAAUGAAGCUGCACAGAUUGAGCUGCAAUGGGUAUGUACCUCCUAAAGAAAUGCAAGGGUAGCAUAUUCAUUUUUCUUUGGGAAAAUGUCUCUCUUAGAGUGUUGUGCACACAAAUAAGGGAGUAUGAUCAUAAUUUCAUUUUUGUUAACUUCAAGGACACCCGUGCAGGAAUCAGAGAGAGAACAAGAGGGAUGCCAAAGUGAAGAAAAUGACAGAGAGACAGCCUUAGUCAGUGACAGUGUUCCAGUGAGGCCUGAAACAUCAGCUGAGAGUGUAGUAGUACCAGCAGUGAUUGACAACGAGGAGUUGGAUCACAAAGAAACAGACACUGAUUUGUGUCAUCACAAUAGGGUUGCUAUAAGAUUGUGUAACUUAAACUCAGUCAAUAUCAAAAUAGUCAAAAUAACACCUGUAAGAUAUAAUUAGAUAGAUAAGAUAAUGCAAAUACACACAAUUAAUAACAUGCAGCUGGGUUAUAUAUUCUAACUGUUAAAAUAUUUAGUUUUUGUUCAGAAUGCUGUGUUGUUGAUUUUAUGUCAACUCAGCUGUGUAACAGAUUCUGAAGAUGUUGGGUCUCACAUGUUUGUCAGUGACAUGGACAGAACUUUCCUCCUCUUCUGUAGACUGAGAGGAUAUCUGUAUUUGCAGGUAACAUGCCAACUCACAACAUGUCUCUCUGGAAUAGAUAACUUUGUUGUUGUUGUUGUCUAGAAUGGAAGCUUAUUAAACAACCGGCUCAAGCUGCCAAAGUUUUCAAAGAGAAUCUACUAAGGGAGCAUGCAUCUGGGAAACCACUUAGAAUAAGGAUGGAUGUAAGGGACUCUGAAGAGGACAGGGAACGGGAACUUCUCUCAUUCUAUAAACAGCAGCAAGAAUGGGCAUGUCCACUUCAUUGUACUCUUGUUGGUAAAUAAUAUAAAGUUUGUAGUAUAAAUGUAUCAGUAAAGUUUAUACCACUCAAAUGUCUUAUAUGGAAUUUUAAAUGGGAGAAUGGGAUCCAAAAAAACUGUAUAAUUGAUGACCACUAAUGAAAAUAUGUCGUGUACAAUAUUCUCCUGUUAUCUGGAAUAGUCAAUAUUAAGGAUGCUAUUCUAGAAUUGCAGCCAAUAGAAUAUUGACUAUUUUUUCCUUGCUUGUUAAAUGUUACCUUGUCCAGUUACCUGUAUUAGUCAGCCACUGUUUUCCACUGUGUUAUUAUCAGUAUUUUAUUUCAGGUGAUGUUGCUGUCAGAGAGGGAGUGAUGCGGUACUUUAUGACAACAAUAAUAUCCAAACUCCAGUUUGGAUUCAGUCUUGAUCUUGCAUCAGGCGCUUAUUGAAAGCAACCUCUUCCAGGUUGCAGGAAGGAUGUUGGACAACGCCUUUCUGCAUGACGGCCCCCUUGUCACAGGAUUAAGUCCUGCUGUAAUUCAUGUACUGUUCAAUGGGGACCCUGAAAUGGCAACUGUUGUUACAGAAGACUGUCCUGAUCUGCACAUCAGGAAGAUCAUAAAACUGGUCAUUGGGAGGACCAUGCGUCACAUUAAACAGUUGAGAAAAGGACUGAAAGAUGUGAUGGUAUGGCCCCUGCUGACAUCUAGGCCAGAUGCUGUCCCACUUCUUUUCCCCAAAAUGGCUGAAAUGCAGUUCGCACCCCAGAUGCUCCUCGUAAAAAUCACAUGGCCACGUGAGGACAGUGAUGAUGAAGACUUUGACAUAGAGUCCACAUGCCUCAUCACUAGCUUUCUAAGGAUGUUCAUUGAAACAGCUUCAUCAGGUACACUGGCCCAGCUGCUGACAUUCUGGGUUGGCUGGGAGAUGCUUCCUCCUGAACUGAAGGUGGAGAUUUCUGGGGGGAACCCUUCCUACGUCUUCCACAUGCUUUGAAACACUGACGCUGCCAGCUCAUUUCAAAACCUACAUGGCCUUCGAGAAAGCACUUGUCUCUGCCAUAAAUAGUGCACAGACUGGAUUUGGACUUGUUUAAGUUUUUUUCAGACAGAUGGUAUUGCAUGCACUGUUCAGUAUGUCAGGUCAGUUGACACAAGUUUGGUGUCUUUGAAAACAUUUAAACAUACUGUGUAGUAGUUGACAAUUGUUUUAUUCAAAACAUUGUUUCCAUUUACUGAAACCAAACAGUUCUGCAUCUUCAUCUUUCAGUGUUAACAGAACAGCAUUCAUGUCAUUCAUUCUGUGGCAAAUAAUGAGACAGGAAGUAAAGGAGUGUGUUUAAGUUUAGGAAGUAGUGGAGCUGUACAUAAAGUCAAUUUACGAGAUCAUAACAGUGAUUAUGAGCUUUAAGGUAAAACAGCUUUUUUUUUAAGGAAAGCAAACUUCUUCAGUUUAUGCUUGUUUGCUCUAACAUGCUAAAUAAAAGCAUGGGUUGGACAUCAGUCUGCUAUGAUUCCUAAUAAAAUUUGCACAGUCUCUACAUAUGAUCUAAGUGCAUCAGUUACAGAAACUCCUGGAGCUGGCAAAAUGGCAACCUCUUCAUCAGAGAGCUCACGGGCCAGCUGAACCUCUGGGACUGACAAAGUGCCUCCAUGAAGACUGUGAGGUCCAUUCUAGUCGAUCCCAUAGUCUUCAU